AACUAAAUCAUAAUAAUUUGCUGUAGAUCAUAACAAAGUAGAAUUGUAUUUAAAAUUAAGCACUUUAAAACAAGGAAUGCUGAACUGAGUCACAAAGGAAGGGUACCUGUCGGUCCCACGAGAAUUUGUUGUGAUAUUGUAAACCGAGGCUAGAAACAAUAAUAUUUACUUAAUAGACCAAUGUCCGUGGCUCUAUUAAUAUUGUCAGAUUACGCCAGAACGUGCCAAGUGAAGUAGGGGGAUCAACAGGUUCCAUACAUUCAAUACUCUGGUUCAUUUCCGAUAUUGAAAUAUCAUUGAAGUUACCUCGCCAUGGACUUGCGAUUAACGAUUCUUCUAUGCUUUUUCAUGCUAGCCAUCGCGACGGCUUUCCCCAUAGAAAUGGGAGGAGGAAGGGCAAAACGUGAUUUAGUGGAAUACGCUAAGCAGGCGUGGACUGCAGUCAUGAAUACGAUGAAUGAGGUUGGGGAGAACAUCGUGCAAAUCUUCAAACCGACGGAACCCGGCACACUAAAGCCGGUGGUUUCUGAACUACCCAAGUACGGUGAUGUGUAACCAGUUCCUUGCGAUAUUGAUAGCUGCGUACAAAUUGGAGUAUUGGCAUGAUAUUGGUACAAUACUGCAGUACAAGUUAGUCCUACAAUCUUGUCUGGUUCAGCGUAAGUUUAAGGUUUUUUUUUCCAAGUAUACAGUGACUUUUAGUACAGGUAAAGGUACAAUUUAUUAAAGCUUGUGUCUUAAUACAAUAUAUCCGCCGAGAAUAGUUGUACGUCUGUCUUUAAUUUUAUAAUCGUGGUAAGGACAUAUAAUUACAAUUAUGAAAUCAUACUGUUUAUUAUAAUAGCUUAUCAAUAAAAAUAGUUAACAA